UAGGGAAUCUUCCGCAAUGGGCGAAAGCCUGACGGAGCAACGCCGCGUGAGUGAUGAAGGUCUUCGGAUCGUAAAACUCUGUUAUUAGGGAAGAACAUAUGUGUAAGUAACUGUGCACAUCUUGACGGUACCUAAUCAGAAAGCCACGGCUAACUACGUGCCAGCAGCCGCGGUAAUACGUAGGUGGCAAGCGUUAUCCGGAAUUAUUGGGCGUAAAGCGCGCGUAGGCGGUUUUUUAAGUCUGAUGUGAAAGCCCACGGCUCAACCGUGGAGGGUCAUUGGAAACUGGAAAACUUGAGUGCAGAAGAGGAAAGUGGAAUUCCAUGUGUAGCGGUGAAAUGCGCAGAGAUAUGGAGGAACACCAGUGGCGAAGGCGACUUUCUGGUCUGUAACUGACGCUGAUGUGCGAAAGCGUGGGGAUCAAACAGGAUUAGAUACCCUGGUAGUCCACGCCGUAAACGAUGAGUGCUAAGUGUUAGGGGGUUUCCGCCCCUUAGUGCUGCAGCUAACGCAUUAAGCACUCCGCUUGGGGAGUACGACCGCAAGGUUG
rnacentral:rRNA from 1 species